rnacentral:rRNA from 1 species
CCUACGGGGGGCAGCAGUGGGGAAUAUUGGACAAUGGGCGAAAGCCUGAUCCAGCCAUGCCGCGUGUGUGAAGAAGGCCUUCGGGUUGUAAAGCACUUUCAGUGGGGAAGAAAGCCUUGGGGCUAAUACCCUCGAGGAAGGACAUCACCCACAGAAGAAGCACCGGCUAACUCCGUGCCAGCAGCCGCGGUAAUACGGAGGGUGCGAGCGUUAAUCGGAAUUACUGGGCGUAAAGCGCGCGUAGGCGGUCUGAUAAGCCGGUUGUGAAAGCCCCGGGCUCAACCUGGGAACGGCAUCCGGAACUGUCAGGCUAGAGUGCAGGAGAGGAAGGUAAAAUUCCCGGUGUAGCGGUGAAAUGCGUAGAGAUCGGGAGGAAUACCAGUGGCGAAGGCGGCCUUCUGGACUGACACUGACGCUGAGGUGCGAAAGCGUGGGUAGCAAACAGGAUUAGAUACCCUGUAGUC